GCAAGUCGAACGCGAAAGUACUCUUCGGAGUGCGAGUAGAGUGGCGAACGGGUGAGUAAGACGUUGAUGACCUGCCCUGAGGAGGGGGACAACCGUGGGAAACUACGGCUAAUACCCCAGAAGUUUAAGUUGCUAGAGGGCUUAAACAUAAAGCUACGGCGCCUUAGGAGGGGUCAGCGGGCUAUCAGCUAGUUGGUGGGGUAAAGGCCUACCAAGGCGAAGACGGCUAGGGGGCGUGAGAGCGCGAUCCCCCACAAUGGGACUGAGACACGGCCCAUACUCCUGCGGGAGGCAGCAGUGAGGAAUAUUGCACAAUGGGGGCAACCCUGAUGCAGCAACGCCGCGUGAACGAAGAAGGCCCUCGGGUCGUAAAGUUCUUUUCUGAGGGAAGAAAAUGACGGUACCUCAGGAAUAAGUCCCGGCUAACUACGUGCCAGCAGCCGCGGUAAAACGUAGGGGGCGAGCGUUAUCCGGAUUUAUUGGGCGUAAAGCGCGCGUAGGCGGUUUGGCAAGUUGGAUGUGAAAGCUCCCGGCUCAACUGGGAGAGUGCAUACAAAACUGCCAGACUAGAGGGUAGGAGAGGAGAGCGGAAUUCCCGGUGUAGUGGUGGAAUGCGUAGAUAUCGGGAGGAACACCAGUGGCGAAGGCGGCUCUCUGGACUAACCCUGACGCUGAGGUGCGCAAGCGUGAGUAGCGAACGGGAUUAGAUACCCCGGUAGUCCACGCUGUAAACGAUGGAUACUAGGUGUAGGGGAUGAAAAUCUUCUGUGCCGCAGCAAAC
rnacentral:rRNA from 1 species